rnacentral:rRNA from 1 species
UACGAAGGGGGCUAGCGUUGCUCGGAAUUACUGGGCGUAAAGCGCACGUAGGCGGAUUGUUAAGUCAGGGGUGAAAUCCUGGAGCUCAACUCCAGAACUGCCUUUGAUACUGGGGAUCUCGAGUCCGGGAGAGGUGAGUGGAACUCCGAGUGUAGAGGUGAAAUUCGUAGAUAUUCGGAAGAACACCAGUGGCGAAGGCGGCUCACUGGCCCGGUACUGACGCUGAGGUGCGAAAGCGUGGGGAGCAAACAGG